ensembl:lncRNA
AGGAGAGGGCCCAUAUCCCAGCAGUGCCAGUGGAGGGGGCUGCUUGGGCUGGGCAGACCCAGGAGAGAUGAGUCUUGGGGGCCACUGGGCUGGUUGCCCCACCCAUCUUGACAGCUCUUCGCAGGAUCCCCCCACUCCUGGUCAUGAGGAAGUGGGGGCCAGCAUGGCCCAUCAAGACCCUGGGAGGGAGGCCAUGGCUGCAGCUUCUGCCUGACCCCUACCCGCCAGCCCUCUCGGUUCACUGUUAUUCACCCUCCACUUCCUGUCACUGGGUCUCUUUGUCACACCCUCUGUCUCUUUUUGUGACACUGACAUCUUUCCCAUUCGGGGAUAUGGGAAGCUGGCGCUAGCGGCACUGCUGUGUAUGAGUUUACAGGGCUCCUGAGAAGAUGGCCUCCUCUUCGCUGCUCAGGGCCUAGAGGGGCUGGGGGAGGGAGUGAGAAAUCCAGCAAGAGACGAGUGUGUGUGCGGGGUGUGGAGGUCAGAUAAUGCAUUGCAGCGGCUCUGCACUGGUCCUGAGGAGUCUGUAGACAUUAUUCCAAUGGAGCGAAGGGGAAGGGGAAUUGAAGCAGAGGGAACAGCACGCAUGAAGGCUCAGAGGUUUGGAAAAACCCUUGUGUGUUUUGAGAACCGAUGAGUGGGUGUGGGUGCGUGCCUCUGAGUCUGUGCAGGAAGAAGGUGGGAGUGGCUGGGCAUGGGAAUGUGGGACCACCUGCUCCCUGGCUGGAGAUCAGGAACUGACAGCACCCCAGUGGGGGCAGGCAGAGCUGAGGGCCCUAGAGGAGAGGCCCUUCCUCAGAGGGAAGCCUCCCUAGCCUUCAAUUUUUAAUGAAUGGCCUUGAGCAUCCGUUCCUGGUGGCCUCCAAGUUCUUUUUGAGUCUCCCCCAAACCCACACCGAUGCUGAGGCCAUUUUAGAUCCUCCUAAAGCAUUGCUGGGGCUCAGCUCAAGGCUGGAAACUCCAGGGUCUUGAUAAGCAAUUAUUGAUACAGCAUGGCUCGAGGAUCAAGUAUGCGACAAGCCCUGAUGAGGCUGAUUCUCCUGAGUAGCAGGAGCAGUUGAAAUCCACCAGGAGUUUUCACCCUGCCUUGGAAGG